UUGGAAUCAGCUCUAUUCUUUACGAAUCAUUCGCUUCAAUACGACUGGACCAUGUUGAAAACACAUGUAACAUGUGCCUGAUUUCUGAAUAUAGUCGCAUGAAAAAAUCCACUCCAUCGGCGUAUAACACAUUAGUACUUCGCAUGAGAAAAAAUCAAAUCAACACGUAUCUGCUUGUUGAAAAUGCAUGUUUACGCAAAAUCUAAGAACCAGACAGGAAAAAGCCUACAUCAUCAACAAAAGGCUCAGUCUAUGCAUCUGUACUCACCAUUUGAAGCGUUAGAUGCCAACAAAGGAUUACUCAGCAUUCUACUUACUCAUCUUAGCGUGAAGGCGAUUCCGGUAAACCAGUCACAAAGUAAACAGAGUCCAACCAAUUUCAUUCUCAUUUUUUUGUUCUAACAAUAGUAUCGAAAAUAAAAAAGCCAAUUGCUGGAAUAGUUGGUAGUUUUAAUGUAUUUGCAAUAUUUGCAAUUAUUACAAAAGAAAUUAAAACUGUUCUUGCUUUUCCUUUUUUUAAUUCAUCUCACUAUUCCCGGUCAUAUUGAUUGAAAUAGAAGUUGAGUAUUUCUGGCAUUGCUUUUUGUAGAGUUAGGCCAAAGACUUAAUUCAAGAAUAGUGGCACAUACAAAAGAGUUAACCAUUGAAAAUCCGGUCCAUAUUAUGGUUUACGAGAUAACGAGACAUAGUAAUGAGCAGAUUGGAGAUUGAUGGCAGUCUCCAAUAAAAACGAUUUUGAUUUCGAGAGUCCUCGUUGCAAGAGUACGAUUAAAACUGCAAGGAGCCAAAAUGAUAUAGGCCUUAGAGCCUCAAAACCAGUUAUAAAACCAUUCUUAUCGAAGCUUGUGCGAAAAAAGCUGAAUUGCAAAUUCGAUCGAUGUAAUUGGAUAGUGGCUGAUAGGAGAUGAAUUAUUUUCCCUAAUGAGAUCAAAUCUAAUUUAAUUUAUUUGAUAGACUAACCUAAGUUCGAAGAGGAGGUGAGAAAUUCAACUGCAAAUGUACUCUACCAAUUCUACGUCAUUUCUCCUCAGCAAUGAUGUGGGGAAGGAUAAUUUUCAAAGGGACUGAUCACGUCUCGUUCUUUAUGUGUACUACCAUAUAGGAAAAUUAUCGGGGAAUGUGUUAUUAGAAGCAGCGUCCGUUAUAGCUGCAUGCGUUUCAAAAUAUUUUUACAGCCCUGAACCAAUGAAUAUGACGAGAUUAUACUGUGGUGUAAAACUGUGGCAACGUUCUAGUAGAACGAUUUUUAUAGAUAGAGGGCAUCAUUACUAGUUCUAUAAAGUAACCACUCUUUAUAACUUCUAGCCAUGUAUAACUUAUAAAAGGACACAUAUUACACGGGUCUUCUACUACAAAGGGAAAUGUAAGCAAAAUUAUCUCAUUUUAUUCUACUCCAGAAAUUGUGUUCUAGGUGUACCGUUCAAGAAAGCUGACGUUAAGUUGAUAAUAAACCUAUGGAAAAAAAUGUAAAUAAAUUUAGCAAAGAUGGUCCUAUGAGAUCGCAGGGAACAGUCAAACAAUAAUGGCGCCUACAGAGCGGAUAAACUGAAUGGACAUGAACGAUUGUUACCAUGUAGUCUUCACUCACUAAAUUUGGUUGAAGUUUAUGCGUCUUGUGUGGCCCUAGAAAUAACUACGUUUUUCGAUAUAAAUAAAGUAGAAGAAGUAAUAAAGUAUUUUAAAUUUUUUUCUGGAUGUACUGAACCCU